GUAAAGAUGCCAGAAAAAAAAUUUUGUAUAUGGGGUUAAUUUAGGAUUAAUUUAUGAUUAGUUGUCUCUUUACU
rnacentral:tRNA from 1 species